rnacentral:rRNA from 1 species
CACGUAGGCGGAUUUCUAAGUCAGGGGUGAAAUCCUGGAGCUCAACUCCAGAACUGCCUUUGAUACUGGGAAUCUCGAGUCCGGGAGAGGUGAGUGGAACUGCGAGUGUAGAGGUGAAAUUCGUAGAUAUUCGCAAGAACACCAGUGGCGAAGGCGGCUCACUGGCCCGGUACUGACGCUGAGGUGCGAAAGCGUGGGAGCAAACA